rnacentral:rRNA from 1 species
UACGUAGGGUGCGAGCGUUGUCCGGAAUUACUGGGCGUAAAGAGCUCGUAGGUGGUUUGUCGCGUUUGUCCGUGAAAACUCACAACUCAAUUGUGGGCGUGCGGGCGAUACGGGCAGACUGGAGUACUGCAGGGGGAGACUGGAAUUCCUGGUGUAGCGGUGGAAUGCGCAGAUAUCAGGAGGAACACCGGUGGCGAAGGCGGGUCUCUGGGCCACUACUGACGCUGAGAAGCGAAAGCAUGGGGAGCGAACAGG